rnacentral:misc_RNA from 1 species
CCGAUUCUAAAGGAUGUGCUGGCCUAACGGCAUGUGCACUCCGAAACCUCAUACCCCUGUGCAUCUUUUGUAGUCCAGCAUUAAGGGAGAGCGCAAGUUUUUCUGCUGUGACUAUGUUUUUAUACACCCUUGAUACAUUUAUAGAAUGUUUCUAGACCUUAACAAGUCUAAUAAAUUAAUA